rnacentral:rRNA from 1 species
CACAAGCGGUGGAUUAUGUGGAUUAAUUCGAUGCAACGCGAAAACCUUACCUGGCCUUGACAUGUAGCGAACUUUCCAGAGAUGGAUUGGUGCUCGAAAGAGAACGCUAACACAGGUGCUGCAUGGCUGUCGUCAGCUCGUGUCGUGAGAUGUUGGGUUAAGUCCCGCAACGAGCGCAACCCUUGCCAUUAAUUGCCAUCAUUUAGUUGGGCACUUUAAUGGGACUGCCGGUGACAAACCGGAGGAAGGUGGGGAUGACGUCAAGUCCUCAUGGCCCUUAUGGCCAGGGCUUCACACGUAAUACAAUGGUCGGUACAGAGGGUUGCCAAGCCGCGAGGUGGAGCCAAUCCCAGAAAGCCGAUCGUAGUCCGGAUUGUAGUCUGCAACUCGACUACAUGAAGUCGGAAUCGCUAGUAAUCGCGGAUCAGCAUGUCGCGGUGAAUACGUUCCCGGGCCUU